rnacentral:rRNA from 1 species
CACGUGGGAAGUGACCUUUUGCUACGGAACAACUCCGGGAAACUGGAGCCAUACCGUAUGUGCCCUUUGGGGGAAAGAUUAUCGGCAAGAAUGAGCCCGCGUCGGAUUAGCUAGUUGGUGGGGUAAAGGCCUACCAAGGCGACGAUCCGUAGCUGGUCUGAGAGGAUGAUCAGCCACACUGGGACUGAGAACGGCCCAGACUCCUACGGGAGGCAGCAGUGGGGAAUAUUGUACAAUGGGCGCAAGCCUGAUCCAGCAAUGCCGCGUGAGUGAUGACGGCCUUAGGGUUGUCAAGCUCUUUUACCCGGGAAGAUAAUGACUGUACCGGGAGAAUAAGCCCCGGCUAACUCCCGUGCCACCAGCCGCGGUAAU